rnacentral:rRNA from 1 species
UACGGGGGGGUAAGCGUUGUUCGGAAUUACUGGGCGUAAAGGGCGCGCAGGCGGCUGCUCAAGUCAGGCGUGAAAGGCCUGGGCUCAACCCGGGAAUUGCGCUUGAGACUGGGCUGGCUUGAGUGCGGGAGAGGCGCGUGGAAUUGCAGGUGUAGCGGUGAAAUGCGUAGAUAUCUGCAGGAACACCCGUGGCGAAAGCGGCGCGCUGGACCACUACUGACGCUGAGGAGCGAAAGCGUGGGUAGCAAACAGG